GGAAGUAAAAGUCGUAAAAGGUUUCCGUAGGUGAACCUGCGGAAGGAUCAUUAUUGUAUAACCGAGGUGCGAGGGCUGUCGCUGACCCGAAAGGUCGUGCACGCCCGAGUGCCCUCACACACAUCCAUCUCACCCCUAUGUGCACCACCGCGUGGGUCCCCCUUUGGCUUGUUCGGAGGGGGGCUUACGUUUUCACACAAACUUUGUAUGCAGUGUAGAAUGUAUUUUUUGUUUUUGCGAUCACGCAAUCAAUACAACUUUCAACAACGGAUCUCUUGGCUCUC
rnacentral:misc_RNA from 1 species